GACGAACGCUGGCGGCGUGCCUAAUACAUGCAAGUAGAACGCAGUUGCGAACGGGUGAGUAACGCGUAGGUAACUGCCUGGUAGCGGGGGAUAACUAUUGGAAACGAUAGCUAAUCCCGCAUACUACCAGAUGGACCUGCGUUGUAUUAGCUAGUUGGGUAGGUAACGGCUCACCAAGGCAACGAUACAUAGCCGACCGUAGAGGGGGAUGGGACAAACUGGGACUGAGAACAGGACCAGACUCCCACGGGAGGCAGAAGUAAGGAAUCUUCGGAAAUGGGGGGAACCCUGACCGAGAAACGCCGGGGUAGUGAAGAAGGGUUUCGGAUCGGAAAGCUCUGUUGUUAAGGAAGCGGUACUUAACCAGAAAGGGACGGCUAACUACGUGCCAGCAGCCGCGGUAAUUC
rnacentral:rRNA from 1 species